AGAGAUACAUAUAUUUUGUGAUUUUGAGAAGCUUAAGUCUAAGUUUAGAGACAUACAAAUUUAUUUUUGGUCUUGUUAUGGGUGUAGGUAGAAUGGAAGGAGGGUUUAAUGGAUUGAAGGGUAAAAAAAUCUCCCUUAUUACUAUAGUGCUCAUGUCAACAACUAUUCUUAUGUGGACAUGGGAGAAAACCCCACUUCUUACUACCUUGGUUCCGGCCGAAACCGAAACCCGGUUGCAGGUGUCUUCAGAUUGUGUAUGGUGCAGAACUGAGGGAUGUUGUUGUAGAUAGCUCUGUACCAUUGGAACGAGAACUACAUGUAGGCAAGGGUGUAACAGCAUUAGCGGAGAGGGAUGCCUGGAAAGAAGAAUUUCGUGCGGGGUUAGGAUCUACACUAGAUUCCGGACCAUAAAAGCGAUGGGAUUAGUAAUGAUCAAGUGACAGACACUGUUGAGAAUAAUGGGACUUCCUUAAGUGAAUUAAAAGAAGGUGCUAAUAUAGUUGGAGAAGAAGCUUCAAACCUAGAAGAGAGGACAUCAGUUGAUAGAAGACACGGAGAAAAAGCAGAAGAAAAUAAUUCAGACCUACAAAAACCGAUACUGCUUAUACAAAUAUCUCCGUUGGGGGAAAUCUCAAGGACAAACUAACUACUCGUAUGGAAAGUCCAGGUUGUAAAUUCUUGGCUUUCUUGGGUUCAUUAGAGAAAUGCCAUCUAUUGCACUGGAUUUCCUCACUUUAAACACUAAAAUUAUCCAAAAAAUUAAUCUUUUCCUAAAUGUCUUCUGCGUGAGUAGGUUCUAUGCUUUGGCAGUUUAAGAAAAACGUUGAUUAAGAGAACCUAAGUACACGAUUUCUUUUAUAUGAAAAGGUUACCUUUUCAAAAUUUGAAUGUACCUUAUAUACUACUGUUUUAGCCUUUCUAAAUCUAAGCAUGAUCUAUUAUGGUUGAUAAGAAGGUGCAUCACAUAUGGACUUUGGGGUAGACUUUUACCUAGUCAGACAAAAUUGAUUCACACUUGUUUGAUCGAGACACAUUAAUUUAGACAAUAGUAUUGUUAGUUUUUAAUUGAUGCAGAACGGAUAGCAGUCCAAUUCGAAGAGCAGCUUGAUCGUGCAAAAGGAGGAAAACGAAAAGUUACUAGUAGCCACGCCUUAGCUCGGUGUCUGAUUGGAACGUGCCAUAGCUUUCCGGAAAGGGAAUCGCGCUAGGAACAGAACUUGUCGCUACGCCACGACGUGUGGGCUUUUUCGGGGUCGUUUAGGCCCUCAAAACGCAGUUUUCCUAAUUUUCCAUAGUUUUGGUUUUCUAGUAUAUUUUGGAUUGUUUUCGUUUUUACCCAUGGGCUUUAGGGUUUCAUUGUUAGUCGCCCUAGGGUUUCUUUUCUCUUAUUUAAGCAACCUUAAACGGCCGCAGAACCUAUCUUUCAUCUUAUUAUCAAUCAAAUAGAGAAUUUUCUCUUUUA